CAGAACUGUUUGAACAAGGCAUGUUCUGUUAGGAUUUAAAAUUUGAAAUCCUCAUUGAACCAGGCAGGAAAAAGUGAUGGAACCCUUCAAUGUUUUGCUAGUGAUUCUGUGGCUUCAGUUGAAUGGGGUGAGCAGCCAGCAGAAUGAAGUGAAGCAGAGUCCUGAGUCUCUCAGUGUCGCAGAGGGAGCCAGCACCCUUCUUAACUGUACUUAUAGCAACAGUGGUUCUCAGAACUUCAUGUGGUACCGACUGUACCCUGGGAGAGGCCCCGAGUUGCUGAUGUCCAUGUACUCCAGCGGUGACAAAGAAGAAGGAAGAUUCACAGCGCGGCUCAACACAGGCAGCAGACACUUUUCCCUGCACAUCCAAAACUCCCAGCACAGUGACUCGGCCACCUACCUCUGUGCAGUGAGCA